AGAGUUUGAUCAUGGCUCAGAUUGAACGCUGGCGGCAUGCCUAACACAUGCAAGUCGAACGGUAACAGGCAGAGCUUGCUCUGUGCUGACGAGUGGCGGACGGGUGCGUAACACGUAGGAAUCUGCCUAGUAGUUGGGGAUAGCCCGGAGAAAUCCGGAUUAAUACCGAAUACGAUCUACGGAUGAAAGGGGGCCUCUUCUUGAAAGCUCUCGCUAUUAGAUGAGCCUGCGUCGGAUUAGCUAGUUGGUGGGGUAAUGGCCUACCAAGGCAACGAUCCGUAGCUGGUCUGAGAGGACGAUCAGCCACACUGGGACUGAGACACGGCCCAGACUCCUACGGGAGGCAGCAGUGGGGAAUAUUGGACAAUGGGCGCAAGCCUGAUCCAGCAAUGCCGCGUGUGUGAAGAAGGCCUGCGGGUUGUAAAGCACUUUCAAUUGUGAAGAAAUGCUUAAGAUUAAUAAUCUUGAGUCUGA
rnacentral:rRNA from 1 species